GGGCGUAAGGGCUCGCAGGCGGUUUCUUAAGUCUGAUGUGAAAGCCCCCGGCUCAACCGGGGAGGGUCAUUGGAAACUGGGAAACUUGAGUGCAGAAGAGGAGAGUGGAAUUCCACGUGUAGCGGUGAAAUGCGUAGAGAUGUGGAGGAACACCAGUGGCGAAGGCGACUCUCUGGUCUGUAACUGACGCUGAGGAGCGAAAGCGUGGGGAGCGAACAGGAUUAGAUACCCUGGUAGUCCACGCCGUAAACGAUGAGUGCUAAGUGUUAGGGGGUUUCCGCCCCUUAGUGCUGCAGCUAACGCAUUAAGCACUCCGCCUGGGGAGUACGGUCGCAAGACUGAAACUCAAAGGAAUUGACGGGGGCCCGCACAAGCGGUGGAGCAUGUGGUUUAAUUCGAAGCAACGCGAAGAACCUUACCAGGUCUUGACAUCCUCUGACAACCCUAGAGAUAGGGCUUUCCCUUCGGGGACAGAGUGACAGGUGGUGCAUGGUUGUCGUCAGCUCGUGUCGUGAGAUGUUGGGUUAAGUCCCGCAACGAGCGCAACCCUUGAUCUUAGUUGCCAGCAUUCAGUUGGGCACUCUAAGGUGACUGCCGGUGACAAACCGGAGGAAGGUGGGGAUGACGUCAAAUCAUCAUGCCCCUUAUGACCUGGGCUACACACGUGCU
rnacentral:rRNA from 1 species